rnacentral:rRNA from 1 species
CCUACGGGUGGCAGCAGUGAGGAAUAUUGGUCAAUGGGCGAGAGCCUGAACCAGCCAAGUCGCGUGAGGGAAGACGGUCCUAUGGAUUGUAAACCUCUUUUGCCGGGGAGCAAAAAGCGGUACGUGUACCGCAUCGAGAGUACCCGGAGAAAAAGCAUCGGCUAACUCCGUGCCAGCAGCCGCGGUAAUACGGAGGAUGCGAGCGUUAUCCGGUUUGAUUGGGUUUAAAGGGUGCGCAGGCGGCGAGUUAAGUCAGCGGUAAAAUGUCGGGGCUCAACCCCGACAAGCCGUUGAAACUGGCCUGCUAGAGUGGGCGAGAAGUAUGCGGAAUGCGUGGUGUAGCGGUGAAAUGCAUAGAUAUCACGCAGAACUCCGAUUGCGAAGGCAGCAUACCGGCGCCCAACUGACGCUCAGGCACGAAAGCGUGGGUAUCGAACAGGAUUAGAUACCCCAGUAGUC